GAUGAAGAACGCAGCGAAAUGCGAUAAGUAAUGUGAAUUGCAGAAUUCAGUGAAUCUUCGAAUCUUUGAACGCACAUUGCGCCCCCUGGUAUUCCGGGGGGCAUGCCUGUCCGAGCGUCAUUACAACCCUCAAGCUCAGCUUGGUGUUGGGCCCCGCCGCCCCGGCGGGCCCUAAAGUCAGUGGCGGUGCCGUCCGGCUCCGAGCGUAGUAAUUCUUCUCGCUCUGGAGGUCCGGUCGUGUGCUCGCCAGCAACCCCCAAUUUUUUUCAGGUUGACCUCGGAUCAGGUAGGGAUACCCGCUGAACUUAAGCAUAUCAAUAAGCGGAGGA
rnacentral:misc_RNA from 1 species